UACGUAGGGUGCGAGCGUUGUCCGGAAUUAUUGGGCGUAAAGAGCUCGUAGGCGGUCUGUCGCGUCGGAUGUGAAAAUCCAGGGCUCAACCCUGGACCUGCGUUCGAUACGGGCAGACUAGAGUUCGGCAGGGGAGACUGGAAUUCCUGGUGUAGCGGUGAAAUGCGCAGAUAUCAGGAGGAACACCGGUGGCGAAAGCGAUCCGCUGGCCCUCUACUGACGCUGAGGCGCGAAAGCCAGGGGAGCAAACGGG
rnacentral:rRNA from 1 species